CGAGUGAUUUUGGACGCGUGAGAAUGAAUUCCGAAGAUAAAUAAAUGUUUCGGCGCAAAUUGAGCGCGAAACGAAAAUGGAAAAAAAGGAGUUUUCGGAUCAUAGCGUUGAUCCAAGUGCUAAUUCGGCUCAAAUGAUGUCAAAAUGAAAAGGAAUUGCUUCCAAAUUAAACUGGUAGCUUGUGAAAGUCCCUUGGCAUGUUUUGGAAGUGUUCGUGUUGAAAUCGGAGCGAAAACGGAAGAACUGAAAUUUUCUGUAAAGAACGGGACCGAAAAAUUAGCAGAAAAUGCACAGUGUCAGAAAAUUAUGAAAAUUGGCGGAGAUGUUAGGAAUAUUUGUAUGAGGCUAGAUUUAAAGUUUCAGAUUAUUCUGACACCCGUAGAGAGAGAAAUUUGAUCCGAAAGCUAUCGGAUAAAGAUUGCAGUUCGGUACAGUUCGCAGUGACCAAACGGGGUCGAAACUGAAAUGUUAAAAUUUCAGUGGACUUGUUAAGUAAAACCGAACAUGCCUGUCAAAUUUGAGCUCAAAUGGACUUUUAGAAGAGCCUGCGAAAGGUAUCUAAUCCGUGCGACUAAACAGAAUUAAAUCGAGGGGCAAUUUGGUAAUUACAU
rnacentral:lncRNA from 1 species